ensembl:lncRNA
AUUUUAUACUAAAGUAAAAUAGACUAAAACGCAUAACUUUCGAAAGACUAAGAAUACAUUUAAAGAUGCUAUGUAUUUAAAGAAUAUUCCCAUGAAAAGACAAAAACUAAGACUAAAACAAAACUGUAAAAAAUGAUGACUGCUUUCAGUCUAUUUUCCUUAAACUUAGACAAACUGCACCAUCUCCCUCUGUAGGGUGGCACAGAUAGUCUCCAUUAGAAAAGCCAACUUUCAGUCAAGUGUGUCUUUUCUAGUCUUUCCAUGGAAACUCAAAUGGGGCAAAGUGAUUUGUGUGUGUGAGGCUGUGACUGGGCUGAGCGAUAAGAGAGACAGCGAGAGAAAGAGACCUACUCGUCUGCUGACUACAGAGGAGUGAAGUGUCACAGUGCAGCCUGGUUCUCUCAGGACAGAAAAUGAGGACGGGAGGGGAUCUGAGACAUUAGCACGCACAGUGCUGAUUCACGGCAAAUUUCACCGCUGUCUUCCUCUAGUGCUGAUAGCGCUGCAGAAUAAAAGUACUUUCCUGACAGUCUGCAGGGCCCGGGAUGGCUGGGUAUGCAGGGAAGAGAGGUCUAUGCCAGAGAACACAACCUAUGGAGGGGAUUUGGGACAGAGGGGUGGAAAUUCAACAUGACAUCUUCAUCUUUAACAUGGAUGGACCAACAGGACUGUGAACAUAUUCCAACCUGAAUAACAUAAAGAGAAGUGACGUGUGGCCAAGUAUGGUGACCCAUACUCGGAAUUUGUGCUUUGCAUUUGACCCAUCCAAUUGCACACACACAGUAGUGAACACACACACUUGCUCAAGGGUCUCACCUCAGUCGUGAUAUUGAAGGUGGAAACAAGCACUGGGUAUUAACUUCCUCCACCAAUAAUUCCUGCUGGACCUGAGACUUGAACCCGCAACCUUCGGGUUACUAGUCUGACUCUCUAACCAUUAGGCAACGACUGCCUCUAAAAGGCAAGAGGGCUGAUAUGAUGUCCACUAAGCAACAUUUUCCAAACAACAACAACUCAACCUGGGAAGACAGACAAAAAAAAAACAAAAGUAAUUAUCACAUAUAACUAGUUUACUCUGAUUACAGUCUAUGUCUUAGCAAUAUUUCUAGACUUCUGCCAUUUGUGAUAGUGGAAGUUUUAUAAACAUUCAUAUUCAGUUAUUUAUUUGGUUCCACAGUGUUUGCUGAUUUUUAUUUAAACUGUGUAUUUCAUAUUUAUUUGGUUUCAGAGUGUUUACUGAUCUUCAGUUUUGUAUACCUAAACUUUGUGGAAGUUAUUUGUUAUUUUAUAUUAGGCAUAUAGCAUGGUGUAUUUUUAUUCAUUUUGUUAAUAAAAGUUCUACGUUGUAUUUUGUUGCUUGAAUU